UGAGUAACACGUGGGUAACCUGCCCAGAAGUGGGGGAUAACAUUUGGAAACAAGUGCUAAUACCGCAUAACAACUUAGAUCACAUGAUCUUUGUUUAAAAGAUGGUUUUGCUAUCUCUUCUGGAUGGACCCGCGGCGUAUUAGCUAGUUGGUGAGGUAAUAGCUCACCAAGGCGAUGAUACGUAGCCGACCUGAGAGGGUAAUCGGCCACAUUGGGACUGAGACACGGCCCAAACUCCUACGGGAGGCAGCAGUAGGGAAUCUUCCACAAUGGACGAAAGUCUGAUGGAGCAAUGCCGCGUGAGUGAAGAAGGUUUUCGGAUCGUAAAACUCUGUUGUUGAAAAAAAACAUACGUGAGAGUAACUGUUCACGUACUGACGGUAUUCAACCAGAAAGCCACGGCUAACUACGUGCCAGCAGCCGCGGUAAUACGUAGGUGGCAAGCGUUGUCCGGAUUUAUUGGGCGUAAAGAGAAUGUAGGCGGUUUAUUAAGUUUGAAGUGAAAGCCCUCGGCUCAACCGAGGAAGUGCUUCAAAAACUGGUAAACUUGAGUGCAGAAGAGGAAAGUGGAACUCCAUGUGUAGCGGUGGAAUGCGUANAUAUAUGGAAGAACACCAGUGGCGAAGGCGGCUUUCUGGUCUGUAACUGACGCUGAGAUUCGAAAGCAUGGGUAGCAAACAGGAUUAGAUACCCUGGUAGUCCAUGCCGUAAACGAUGAGUGCUAAGUGUUGGAGGGUUUCCGCCCUUCAGUGCUGCAGCUAACGCAUUAAGCACUCCGCCUGGGGAGUACGAUCGCAAGAUUGAAACUCAAAGGAAUUGACGGGGGCCCGCACAAGCGGUGGAGCAUGUGGUUUAAU
rnacentral:rRNA from 1 species